CAGUAGCCGCGGGAAUACGGAGGGUGCAAGCGUUAAUCGGAAUUACUGGGCGUAAAGCGCACGCAGGCGGUUUGUUAAGUCAGAUGUGAAAUCCCCGAGCUUAACUUGGGAACUGCAUUUGAAACUGGCAAGCUAGAGUCUUGUAGAGGGGGGUAGAAUUCCAGGUGUAGCGGUGAAAUGCGUAGAGAUCUGGAGGAAUACCGGUGGCGAAGGCGGCCCCCUGGACAAAGACUGACGCUCAGGUGCGAAAGCGUGGGGAGCAAACAGGAUUAGAUACCCCUGUAGUCCCUGUCUCUUAUCA
rnacentral:rRNA from 1 species